CUCUCACCUCUAACGCCGCAGUGGAUUAGAGCAUCUGAGAAGCUCUGGAAAAAACCUCUCAGGAAAACAACGACUUCAGCAGGACCCACUAGCCAAGGAAAGGGGAUAAAAUAAAUAGCAAAGGGAAGGAAAAACACGCACCUCUGGGAUGCUGCAGGUCCUGUUGCAGCCGCCGCCAUCCCUCGAAGCCACCGUUGCUUCUGCCAGAGCUGCUACUAGCGCGCUUAUCAGCUCCGCCACCGCCCAAGGGGGAAACUUCUGCAGAAACCCCAACCGAGCUUCCGUCGUAAGUAGCCAACGAGCAGCCACGCAGCGUGCUGCUAGCGGGGCGGGAGGCUACGCGCGGGCGCGUGGCCUGCUGGGGCAGUGGAGGACCGAGUCUUCCCAGCCCGCACCCUGGCCUGGGACCCGCGCUCCCAGUCCCGGGACCCGCGCUCCCAGUCCCCGCCCCUAGCAGCCAUGGUUAUGGAGGCCCGGGCCAACACGUUCUCCUUCUCUUCCACCGCGCCCACUGCUGCGGUCACUCGGACCAAGCCUCCAGGAGUAGUAGCUCAGAAGCACUUUUGUAGCAUACCGUUACCCCUCAGGAGCUUAGCGGUUAAGGGCGUUUGCAUGUCUUUUAGUAACACAAGCUCCAGGCCGGGCGCCGUGGCUCACGCCUGUAAUCCCAGCACUUUGGGAGUCCGAGACGGGUGGAUCACGAAGUCAGGAGUUCAAGACCAGCCUCGCCAAGAUGCUGAAACCCCGUCUACGAAAAAUACAAAAAUUAGCCGGGCGUGAUGGUGGGCGCCUGUAAUCCCAGCUACUGGGGAGGCUGAGGCAGGAGAAUCGCUUGAACCUGGGAGGCAGAGGUUGCAGUGAGCCGAGAUCGCGCCACUGCACCACAGCCUGGGCGACAGAGCAAGACUCCUUAAUAAAUAAAUAAAUAAAUAAAAAAUAAAUAAAAUAAGCUACUUCGAGCUCCGUUUUCCCUAGGUUUUAUCAUGGCUGCCACAGGUGGCCAAGCCCUUUCGUCUCCGUGAUGUCACUGGAGGCUGCGUGGUCUUUUCAGGGAACAGAGGGGCCUGGAUGGCGCCUGGAUUCCGGCGAUCGUUGCGCUGGGAAUGGAAAAGGGCUGGGACUCGCUGGAAGUCGUUCUGAACUAAUAGAGCUAAAGGCCUUCUGGUUCCUGGGGAGACGCGCCUGGCCCCCGUGUACUAUUCAUUCCCUUCCUCAUAACUCCACAGCCCAGGCUUUCUUCUUAGUGGGCUUCCUAGACCGAAAGUGAUCUCAGGGCCGCUUUGUUUCCCAUCCCGGUCGGUCAGGCCCUCCGUCAGCGCCCUUUGACCCAUGCAGAUCGGAUGGGGAAAGCUGCCAGCGCCUUCCAGGGAUGGGGGCAGAAUGGGGAGCUGGAGGGAGUGGUCUUUUUCUAACUUUAUACCACUAUCAAACUGUGUUAAUUCAUGUAGCUUUAUAAUAAGUCUUGAAGUCCUGUGACUUUAUUCUCCCAAGAUUGCUUUGGCUUAUUCUAAGGCUAUUGUAUUUGUAGGUGAAUUUUGGAAUUAGCUUGUCAGUUUAAAAAAAAAACAAAACUGCUAGGAUUUGUACUGGGCUUGCGUUGGAUCUGUAGAUCUGUUUGGGGAAAACUAGUAUAUUAACAAUACUGUCCUUCAAUCCAUUAAUAUCAUUAUUUCCCACCAUUUAUUUAAGUGGCCUCUAAUUUUUCCUGGUAAUAUUUUGUAGAUUGUACACAUAUUUAUAUCUUAAUGUUUGGAUCCAAGUUGUGCUUGGAUCGAUUGCAGUAUAGAGAUCAAACAUAUAUUUCAUUAGAUUUAUUCUUGAGCAGUGUUUUAAAUGCGAUGUUAAAUAGCAUUUUAUUUUUUUAUAUUCUCGUUUGUUGUAAGAAUAUAGAAAUGCUAUUGAUUUUUACAUAUUGAUGUUAUAUUCAAGCAUGUUGCUAAGUUCCCUUAUUAUUUGUAAGGGACAAAAAGACUACAGAGUCUUUUGGAAUUUAUGUGAUUACAAUCUUCCAAUCUGUGAAUAGAGAUGGUUUAACUUUCCUGUAAUCUUUAUACCUUUUAGUUUUGUUGCUGGCUAGUAUGUCCACUAUUGAAUAGAAAUAGUGAUAAUGGACUUCCUUGUCUUGGUUGUAAAAUCAAGAGGAAAGCAUUCAAUAUCAAGUGCUUUUUCUGCCUUUAUUGAAAUGUUCAUAUGUAUUUUUAAUAAUAAUAUGUUACUGUUAUAUAAUAAUAAUUUUAAAAUAAUAUUUUAAUAAUAAUGUUACAAUGUAACCAAUUACAUUGGUUAAUUUUCAAAUGUUAUCUAAAUGGCCAAUUGUCCUUCCGGAUCCCCAUUGAUUCCGAUUGGGAUGGCACUGUAAGAGAGGCAGAACCAGUGAAGGAAACAAGGUUUUUUCAGGAGUUAUAUACAGGGGUGGUCCAGUGGUGGUGGGCUGGCCUGGAGAAAUACUACCGUUCGUAUUAAAAAAAAAAAAGCAUGUAGUCCAUAUAGCAUAUAGCAUUUUCACUUAGAACCCUCCUUCUAGCAAUCUCCAUUUAACCCAAAACAAAGGGCCUCGAUCACCUGUACAGCCUGUGUUCCAAGGGAUGGGGCAGGGAUAUGGCUGUCCUUCAUAGAUAAGUAGUGAAUCUCAGUGUUGGCUACUCCCGGAUUCCUUAGCCUGGGACUCCAAACACACUUAGAAUAGGGUAAUUCUCAGGUAUGCUCCAGUUAUGGCUCAGCCAUACACCAAGGUGUAUACACCAACCCCUGCCAUGCACCAAUAUGCAUAUAAAUAUGAAUAGCCUCUGAAAGGGCGAAUUCCUAGAUUGACCUAUAGGCCCACAUGAAAAGUUCUAUAUUAAUAGCUAUGUCAUGACUGGGUGCAGUGGCUCAUACCUGUAAUCCCAACACUUUGGGAGGUCGAGGUGGGUGGAUCCCUUGAGGCCAGGAGUUGGAGACCAGCCUGGGCAACAUGACAAAACCCCAUCUCUACUAAAAAUACAAAAAUUACCUGGGCUUGGUGGUGCACACCUAUAAUCCAAGCUACUAAGGAGGCUGAGGCACAGGAAUCACUUGAACCUGGGAGGCAGAGGUUGCAGUGAGUGAGAUGGCACCACUGCACUCCAGCCUGGGCAACAGAGUCAGACUCUGUCUCAAAAAAAAAAAAUAGCUGUAUCAUGGACAUUGAAAUUAUAAUGAGAUACCAAAACUACCACCAGAAUGACUUAAAUUAAAAGGAUUUCCAAUACCAAGCAUUGACAAGGAUAUGGAGCAUUUUUUAGAGAGAAUGACCAAGGAGUUGGCUACAGUCAGGUGCUGCAGAAUCAGAUCUGUGGACCUUAAUGUGCAUCUGGUGAAAUAAAUAACUAUAAUGGUGAUGAAGAAAGCAAUUGCCCAGGAAUCCUACUGUGGUCUGAGAUAAGAAGAUCAUAUUCCUAUUGCCACAUCCCUGGAGGCCAUUUGUCUUUUUUCAAUGACUGAUCAUCCUAUUCAGAGUGAGAGGAUCUGGCAUGGAAACAAGAGGCCUGUCGUACCAUGGCAACUGAAAGCCACUCUUUCCCACUUACCAUUGUUUUCAAGCCAUUAAUUUCCUAUUAAACUUCAUUUUCCUCUUCCUGAGAGUUUCACUAUAAAAAUAUAUGUGUGUAUAGAUAUAUAUUCCUAGCAUAAGAGUACUAUAAUAGUGUUUUACAUAGAACUUUUACAACAAUUCUUUGAAGUGCUUUAUUGUUCCCAUUUGACAGGUGAGGCGAUCUCAGGCACAGGAAGGCUGAAUGACAUUUCCAAAGUCACCUCCUUGUAAGAGGCAGUGUCAGAAGCUGACAAUGGACUUGACCACUAUGCUGUCGUAGCAACAGAGAG
rnacentral:lncRNA from 1 species